CGCCCCCGGCGUGCUGCUCCGCGAGCCUGGCGCUCCUCAGAGCCGAGUUGGGGAGACCGGUAGGGUGGCGGCUACCGGCCUGGGCGGAGAACGGUACUCCUUUAUGCAGCGGUUAGGGCCCGGCACUCCUGCGCAGGCCCAGCGCGGCUCGGGGUCCUGCCUUUUUCCGGGCUGGCCCCGGGAGUGGUGGGCGUGGGUCAGGGCUAAUGUGAGAGGCAGGCUAUGGACUGUGCCCCCCACCCCUGCUACUGGGGGCGGAACUUCCCCUCCGAGGUCCAGGAGACUUUGGGUUCUCCACUCUGGCGGCCCCGACUCGACCCUCCUUGCCCACUCCCUUUUGCCAGUGUGGGUGCCUUCCGCACAGGCCAUCAUCCAGAAAUACAGCUGUAGCCUCGAGCCUGCGUGAGCUCGGUGGGUUUAACUACACGCGUGUGUCCGUGUUCAACUACCGUGUGAGGAUUGCGCCUGAAGCCCCAGCCUGUGGGCAGGCCUGGACCAUCCAAAGGAGGAGCAGGUGCUCUGGUUUCGGAAGCACUGGUGCCAGUGCAGAGCUGGAGGACCAUUCCAUGGACCCAUGGCGCCUGGAAGGGCUUUGGCCCGACUGCUGGCAAGGACAGUCAGGGAACUGGGAGCCAGUGUGUGGCCUUCUGUCUCACCGGCCGAAUUGCCUGCGAAUCUAGUCAAUAGAGAAUCCGAAACAUACAGGGAGGGAAUUCUGGGAAAUGAAGCUGUUUCCAAGUUGACAUAUGAAAAAGCACCACUCUCCACGGUCAUCUUGGCAGUCAUGCAUCCUCUUUAAACCAUACUGCACUUCAUAUAAAGACCCAAGGCUAUCCUUGACAGUCUGAGCUUGAGCCUGACAGACCUACAGGUGGGUACAGUCCCAGUUCUCACUCUGAUCUUCAAACCUACUAGUCCAGCUGUGGCCUUGACAUGACUCUUGGAUGUCUCCUCUGACCACCCAUUCUGCACUUCAACUAUUGCCUCAAUAACCUCACAUGUCAAAAGUCAAAUUCCUGUUUCUCCCCAUCAAUCUCUUCUUGAUGAAAGAUCCCUUACUCAUUAAAGAAGCUGGAAACGGA